GGUCAGUGAUGAACAGUAAAAGGUCUGAUUACCCACAAUCCCCUCCUGCUGCCUCUGGCUCCCAGCAGCCCUGCUUUCUGCUCCCAUCAUGCUCUAGUGAUGCAGCAGUGGGCCCAGCAGCUGCUGACAUACAGGAUGUGACAUCAUGGCAGGGUCUGUACAGAGAUCCCACAGGCUGUCUGUGAUGAUGUGAUCCAACAGAACCAGAAUCAGGAUGGAGCAUCGGGCUAAGGAGGAGGAUGAGCAGGGAGCUGAUCUCAAGUUUUCAAGCUGAGACC
rnacentral:snoRNA from 1 species